AUAUGCCUUAAAAUGGCUCUGUGCCAACACAUCCUGAGGUUGCAUCUGACAUCAUAUAAGUGAAUUUCCAGUGGACUAAUUGGUGGGCUGGGCUCCCAUGAUGCAAUAUGGCAGUUCAACCAGCGGAAAGACCGUGGCACAUUAUAGGAGAUGCAGUCCAGCCUGGAAGCCUGACCCACAGAGAAGAAUGAAGGGCUUGAGGCACUUGAACUACAAUUCCCAUGAGGCACCAGGGCAACUCAGGCAGACACAGAUUAAAUCAAACUAACCCAUGUGCCACAUUCAGCACGCGUGCCAUAGGUUGCCUUCCCUGAAAAAAGUAGAAUAUAAAAUAAUGGCACAACUUGUACCAGAAAAGAAAAGUGUUCCAAAAAUAAAUAGCUUAACCUGUU